rnacentral:rRNA from 1 species
CUGCUGCCUCCCGUAGGAGUCUGGUCCGUGUCUCAGUACCAGUGUGGGGGACCUUCCUCUCAGAACCCCUACGCAUCGUCGCCUCGGUGGGCCGUUACCCCGCCGACUAGCUAAUGCGCCGCAUGCCCAUCCCCCGCCGGAAUCGCUUCCUUUGGCCGCAGACCCAUGCAGGUCCGCGGCGUUACGCGGUAUUAGUCGGGAUUUCUCCCGGUUAUCCCCCUGCGGGGGGCAGGUCGCAUACGUGUUACUCACCCGUGCGCCGGUCGCCGG